ensembl:rRNA 5S_rRNA 5S ribosomal RNA
GUUUACGGCCACACCACCCUGAACAUGCCUGAUCUCAUCUGAUCUUGGAAGCUAAGGAGGGUUGCACCUGGUUAGUACUAGGAAGAGAGAAAAUACUUACUGAUCACA